GCCCUAGUCGCCUGACCCGCGCUGUCUUGUAAACAGGGGGUCGCCGGUUCGAAUCCGGCAGGAGGCUCCA
rnacentral:tRNA from 1 species